GGAAAAGGCAAACUUUGCUUCAUCCACACAUUCGGCUUUGUGGUUGGGAGAUAAGAACUGUUCACGGUUUCCAAUUUUGUCAUCAGAGCCUCAUUGACUAUUGGGUAUGGAGUGGCCUAAUGAGUUGGUGUUGGAUUUCUUACAAUACUAUGAGAAUGAACCAGUUAUUUGGAACCCUUCUCA